GAUGAACGCUGGCGGCGUGCCUAAUACAUGCAAGUCGAGCGAACAGACGAGGAGCUUGCUCCUCUGACGUUAGCGGCGGACGGGUGAGUAACACGUGGAUAACCUACCUAUAAGACUGGGAUAACUUCGGGAAACCGGAGCUAAUACCGGAUAAUAUAUUGAACCGCAUGGUUCAAUAGUGAAAGACGGUUUUGCUGUCACUACUAGAGGGUUCCCGGCCGCAUUAGCUAGUUGGUAAGGUAACGGCUUACCAAGGCAACGAUGCGUAGCCGACCUGAGAGGGUGAUCGGCCACACUGGAACUGAGACACGGUCCAGACUCCUACGGGAGGCAGCAGUAGGGAAUCUUCCGCAAUGGGCGAAAGCUUGACGGAGCAACGCCGCGUGAGUGAUGAAGGUCUUCGGAUCGUAAAACUCUGUUAUUAGGGAAGAACAAAUGUGUAAGUAACUAUGCACGUCUUGACGGUACCUAAUCAGAAAGCCACGGCUAACUACGUG
rnacentral:rRNA from 1 species